rnacentral:rRNA from 1 species
CGGGGCCCAUCUCUCGGGGUGGGCUCUCGAACAGCUCUCCGGGCCCGCGGCCGUCGGUCAGGGCGGUAUGAAACGACUUGGCGCUGGGCCGCUCCUUCGAGAGCGCCGAGCCUCCCCGCAAGCUCGUGCCGGACAGGCGGGGCCGUGCCCUCGCGGGUACGCCCGGCUGUCCGCCCGGACUGUUGGCGGGUGACGGCUUUGGCUGCCGUCCAGCACGCUCGUCGGCGGCGCUUCAGAUUCGGGAACUUAUCCGACCCGUCUUGAAACACGGACCAAGGAGUCUAGCGUGUGCGCGAGUCAUUGGGUGUAAAACCUAAAGGCGUAAUGAAAGUGUCAGAGGCGCUCACGCGCUCUCGGUGGGAGGAUGGGCUCCCGGCCGUCCGGCCGGUGCCCCGCACUCCCGGGGCGUUUCGAACUCAAUUUACGAGUAGAGACGCACCAGGAGCGCACACGCUGGUGCCCGAAAGAUGGUGAACUAUGCCUGGCCAGGACGAAGCCAGGGGAAACCCUGGUGGAGGUCCGAAGCGAUUCUGACGUGCAAAUCGAUCGUCUGAGCUGGGUAUAGGGGCGAAAGACCAAUCGAACCAUCUAGUAGCUGGUUCCCUCCGAAGUUUCCCUCAGGAUAGCUGGCACUCGGUAUGAGAAGAGUCUCAUCCGGUAGAGCGAAUGAUUAGAGGUGAUGGGGUCGAAACGACUUCAACCUAUUCUCAAACUCCCAAUAGAUGAGAGCCCCGGCUUGCUUGAAAGUGAAGCCGCGGGACUCGGAUCAGAGGAGCCAAGUGGGCCAAUUUUGGUAAGCAGAACUGGCGCUGUGGGAUGAACCAAACGAAGAGUUAAGGCGCCUGAUUCGACGCUCAUAUGAAACCAUGAAAGGCGUUGGUUGCUUAAGACAGCAGGACGGUGGCCAUGGAAGUCGGAAUCCGCUAAGGAGUGUGUAACAACUCACCUGCCGAAGCAACUAGCCCUGAAAAUGGAUGGCGCUGUAGCGUCGUGCCUAUACUCUUCCGUCAACGGCAAAGCGGGCGGCCCUUAACGGGGCGUUGCCGUUAAGCCUUGACGAGUAGGAGGGUCGCGGCGGUGUGCGCGGAAGGGUCUGGGCGUGAGCCCGCCUGGAGCCGCCGCCGGUGCAGAUCUUGGUGGUAGUAGCAAAUACUCCAGCGAGGCCCUGGAGGACUGAUGUGGAGAAGGGUUUCUUGUGAACAGCUGUUGCACAAGAGUCAGUCGAUCCUAAGCCCUAGGAGAAAUCCGAAGCGAUGGUAUGCCGUUAAA